rnacentral:rRNA from 1 species
UACGUAGGGCGCAAGCGUUAUCCGGAAUUAUUGGGCGUAAAGAGCUCGUAGGCGGUUUGUCGCGUCUGCCGUGAAAGUCCGGGGCUCAACUCCGGAUCUGCGGUGGGUACGGGCAGACUAGAGUGAUGUAGGGGAGACUGGAAUUCCUGGUGUAGCGGUGAAAUGCGCAGAUAUCAGGAGGAACACCGGUGGCGAAGGCGGCACUCUGGGACGGUACUGACGCUGAGACGCGAAAGCGUGGGGAGCGAACAGG